rnacentral:rRNA from 1 species
UACGAAGGGGGCUAGCGUUGCUCGGAAUCACUGGGCGUAAAGCGCACGUAGGCGGGUCCUUAAGGCGGGGGUGAAAUCCCGGAGCUCAACUCCGGAACUGCCUUCGAUACUGGGGACCUCGAGUCCGGGAGAGGUGAGUGGAACUGCGAGUGUAGAGGUGAAAUUCGUAGAUAUUCGCAAGAACACCAGUGGCGAAGGCGGCUCACUGGCCCGGUACUGACGCUGAGGUGCGAAAGCGUGGGGAGCAAACAGG